GUUAUGAGGUGUAAGAGUUGUGAGGUGUUACAGUUAUGAGGUUUGUGUGAGGUGUUACAGUUAUGAGGCGUUACAGUUGUGAAGUGUUGUAGUUGUGAGGUGUUACAGUUAUGAGGUGUUACAGUUGUGAAGUGUUGUAGUUAUGAGGUGUUACAGUUAUGAGGUGUUACAGUUGUGAAGUGUUGUAGUUAUGAGGUGUUACAGUUAUGAGGUGUAAGAGUUGUGAGGUGUUACAGUUAUGAGGUGUUACAGUUGUGAAGUGUUGUAGUUGUGAGGUGUUACAGUUAUGAGGUGUUAUCGUUAUAUCAGUGGUCUGCUACUGUAUUAAUAAAAUAUCUACUGAAAAAAACCUGGGUGCAGGUUUUCAUUCCAACCAAGAAGAAGCCAA
ensembl:lncRNA